CCUACGGGAGGCAGCAGUGGGGAAUAUUGCACAAUGGGCGCAAGCCUGAUGCAGCAACGCCGCGUGAGGGACGACGGCCUUCGGGUUGUAAACCUCUUUUAGUAGGGAAGAAGCGAAAGUGACGGUACCUGCAGAAAAAGCACCGGCUAACUACGUGCCAGCAGCCGCGGUAAUACGUAGGGUGCAAGCGUUAUCCGGAAUUAUUGGGCGUAAAGAGCUCGUAGGCGGUUUGUCACGUCUGCUGUGAAAACUGGAGGCUCAACCUCCAGCCUGCAGUGGGUACGGGCAGACUAGAGUGCGGUAGGGGAGAUUGGAAUUCCUGGUGUAGCGGUGGAAUGCGCAGAUAUCAGGAGGAACACCGAUGGCGAAGGCAGAUCUCUGGGCCGUAACUGACGCUGAGGAGCGAAAGCAUGGGGAGCGAACAGGAUUAGAUACCCUGGUAGUCCAUGCCGUAAACGUUGGGAACUAGAUGUAGGGACCAUUCCACGGUUUCUGUGUCGCAGCUAACGCAUUAAGUUCCCCGCCUGGGGAGUACGGCCGCAAGGCUAAAACUUAAGGAAUUGACGG
rnacentral:rRNA from 1 species